CUUUUUGACUUAAAUAUAAAGUAUAACCUGCCCAUUGAUAUUUUUAAAAGGCUGCGGUAUAUUGACCGUACAAAGGUAGCAUAAUCAUUAGUUUUUUAAUUGAGAACUUGUAUGAAUGGUUGAAUGAGAAAUGAACUUUUUUAAUAAAAAAAUUGAAUUUUACAUUUUAAUUAAAAGGUUGAAAUAUAUUUAAAAGACGAGAAGACCCUAUAGAGUUUUAUAAUUUAUAUUUAAUAUUAAAAAAAAUUAAUAGAUAUUUUUAUUUAAAUAAUUAUUUUGUUGGGGUGAUGAUAAAAUUUAACUAACUUUUAUUUUUUUUUACAUUAAUAUAUGGGAAAUUGAUCCACUAUUAGUGAUUAAAAGAUUAAAUUACCUUAGGGAUAACAGCGUAAUUUUUUUUUUAAGUUCAUAUUAAUAAAAAAUUUUGCGACCUCGAUGUUGGAUUAAGAUUUAAUUUUAGGUGCAGAAGUUUAAAAUUUAAGUCUGUUCGACUUUUAAAUUCUU
rnacentral:rRNA from 1 species